UACGUAGGGUGCAAGCGUUAAUCGGAAUUACUGGGCGUAAAGCGUGCGCAGGCGGCUUUGCAAGACAGAUGUGAAAUCCCCGGGCUUAACCUGGGAACUGCAUUUGUGACUGCAUGGCUGGAGUGCGGCAGAGGGGGAUGGAAUUCCGCGUGUAGCAGUGAAAUGCGUAGAUAUCUGGAGGAAUACCGGUGGCGAAGGCGGCAUCCUGGACCGACAUUGACGCUGAUGAGCGAAAGCUAGGGGAGCAAACGGG
rnacentral:rRNA from 1 species